rnacentral:rRNA from 1 species
CCCCUAGACGUUCUGGGCUGCACGCGCGCUACAAUAAUACGCACAGCGAGUAUCACCGAGCUCGAAAGGGCAAGGUAAACAAUAGAAAAGGUACUGUAAUGGUUAUAGAUCCUUGUAAUUAUUGACCUUCAACGAGGAAUUCCUAGUAAGUAUGUGUCAUCAUCACGCACUGAUUACGUCCCUGCCCUUUGUACACACCGCCCGUCGCUCCUACCGAUUGAGUGAGCCGAUGAAACUGCCGGAUGUGGACUAUUCAUAGUCUGCAGAAGAUAUUUGAAUCGUAGCGCUUAGAGGAAGGAGAAGUCGUAACA